GUGGGGAAUAUUGGGCAAUGGGCGCAAGCCUGACCCAGCAACGCCGCGUGAAGGAAGAAGGCUUUCGGGUUGUAAACUUCUUUUGUCGGGGACGAAACAAAUGACGGUACCCGACGAAUAAGCCACGGCUAACUACGUGCCAGCAGCCGCGGUAAUACGUAGGUGGCAAGCGUUAUCCGGAUUUACUGGGUGUAAAGGGCGUGUAGGCGGGAUUGCAAGUCAGAUGUGAAAACUGGGGGCUCAACCUCCAGCCUGCAUUUGAAACUGUAGUUCUUGAGUGCUGGAGAGGCAAUCGGAAUUCCGUGUGUAGCGGUGAAAUGCGUAGAUAUACGGAGGAACACCAGUGGCGAAGGCGGAUUGCUGGACAGUAACUGACGCUGAGGCGCGAAAGCGUGGGGAGCAAACAGGAUUAGAAACCCCAGUAGUCC
rnacentral:rRNA from 1 species